AGUGAACGCUGGCGGUAGGCCUAACACAUGCAAGUCGAACGGCAGCACAGUAAGAGCUUGCUCUUACGGGUGGCGAGUGGCGGACGGGUGAGGAAUACAUCGGAAUCUACUUUUUCGUGGGGGAUAACGUAGGGAAACUUACGCUAAUACCGCAUACGACCUACGGGUGAAAGCAGGGGAUCUUCGGACCUUGCGCGAUUGAAUGAGCCGAUGUCGGAUUCGCUAGUUGGCGGGGUAAAGGCCCACCAAGGCGACGAUCCGUAGCUGGUCUGAGAGGAUGAUCAGCCACACUGUAACUGAGACACGGUCCAGACUCCUACGGGAGGCAGCAGUGGGGAAUAUUGGACAAUGGGCGCAAGCCUGAUCCAGCCAUACCGCGUGGGUGAAGAAGGCCUUCGGGUUGUAAAGCCCUUUUGUUGGGAAAGAAAAGCAGCAGGUUAAUACCCCGCUGUUCUGACGGUACCCAAAGAAUAAGCACCGGCUAACUUCGUG
rnacentral:rRNA from 1 species